rnacentral:piRNA from 1 species
UGAUCCCACUUUUUUCACCUU